rnacentral:rRNA from 1 species
AUACGUAGGGUGCGAGCGUUGUCCGGAAUGACUGGGCGUAAAGAGCUCGUAGGUGGGUUGUCGAGUCGUCUGUGAAAUUCCGGGGCUUAACUCCGGGCGUGCAGGCGAUACGGGCAUAACUUGAGUACUGUAGGGGAGACUGGAAUUCCUGGUGUAGCGGGGAAAUGCGGAGAUAUCAGGAGGAACACCGGGGGCGAAGGCAGGUCUCGGGCCCGUCACUGACGCUGAGGAACGAAAGCAUGGGUAGCGAACAGGAUUAGAUACCCUGGUAGUCCAUGCCGUAAACGAUGGGCGCUAGGUGUAGGGGUCUUCCACGACUUCUGUGCCGUAGCUAACGCAUUAAGCACCCCGCCUGGGGAGUACGGCCGCAAGGCUAAAACUCAAAGGAAUUGACGGGG